UACAUACUCCAUCUGUCACGAAUUAUUUGUUGCAAAAAUAGAUGUAUCUAGACGUAUUUUUAGUUCUAGAUACAUCCGUUUCUACAACAAGUAAUUCAGGACGAGGGAGUAUUAG
rnacentral:pre_miRNA from 1 species